rnacentral:lncRNA from 1 species
ACAAAAGAAAAGAUAAUUGAGUAAGAAGCAAAGAAGAAAAAAAAAUCGGUAAGAUGGGGGAGAGAAAACGUCAAAAAGAUAGAGAGAAAAACAACUUUCUUUUUUUUCGAAAAAGGAAAAAGUGAUCAGAUUUUGGAUAUUCUCCCCCAUAAUCCCCUAAUUCACUCCUAAAAUCGCUCCCUCACUUCUCACUACACAUC